rnacentral:tRNA from 1 species
GCUAUAGCUCAGCAGGAUAGAGCGACCGCCUCCUAAGCGGUAGGCCGGAGGUUCAAAUCCUCUUAGC